GCAACACCGAACGGUUCAUGGAUUAAGCUGAUUCUUAUCCGUAUAUGUUGUGUUUCAGGCUAGAUUUGUUCUUUACGAUGGCCAAAGUGAUGGCAGUGGUCAGAGGCCACUCUUCAAUAAACAAGAAAAAGAGAAAGAAGUUUGGUUAUUGGAGGGUCGUUGUCUGGCUGUCUAGCUGCGGAAAGGUCGAAAACUCAGGAGGCCGCUUUCCACAAGCCCUCCAGCGGAAAGAACCAAAGUAAAAAAGAGGAGAGCCAGGAGAGAGGGAGGAGGAAGAAGAGACGGAGAAAGAAAAAAAGAAUGGGAGGCCAGAAAGAGGUGAACUGGAGAAAGAAUAAAUGUUCAGCUGGAGUCGAUCGCAGAGCAACGUUGGUAC